rnacentral:rRNA from 1 species
AGAGUUUGAUCAUGGCUCAGAUUGAACGCUGGCGGCAGGCCUAACACAUGCAAGUCGAACGGUAACAUUUCUAGCUUGCUAGAAGAUGACGAGUGGCGGACGGGUGAGUAAUGCUUGGGAACUUGCCUUUGCGAGGGGGAUAACAGUUGGAAACGACUGCUAAUACCGCAUAACGUCUACGGACCAAACGGGGCUUAGGCUCCGGCGCAAAGAGAGGCCCAAGUGAGAUUAGCUAGUUGGUAAGGUAAUGGCUUACCAAGGCAACGAUCUCUAGCUGUUCUGAGAGGAAGAUCAGCCACACUGGAACUGAGACACGGUCCAGACUCCUACGGGAGGCAGCAGUGGGGAAUAUUGCACAAUGGGGGAAACCCUGAUGCAGCCAUGCCGCGUGUGUGAAGAAGGCCUUCGGGUUGUAAAGCACUUUCAGUUGUGAGGAAAAGUUAGUAGUUAAUACCUGCUAGCCGUGACGUUAACAACAGAAGAAGCACCGGCUAACUCCGUGCCAGCAGCCGCGGUAAUACGGAGGGUGCGAGCGUUAAUCGGAAUUACUGGGCGUAAAGCGCACGCAGGCGGUUUGUUAAGCUAGAUGUGAAAGCCCCGGGCUCAACCUGGGAUAGUCAUUUAGAACUGGCAGACUAGAGUCUUGGAGAGGGGAGUGGAAUUCCAGGUGUAGCGGUGAAAUGCGUAGAUAUCUGGAGGAACAUCAGUGGCGAAGGCGACUCCCUGGCCAAAGACUGACGCUCAUGUGCGAAAGUGUGGGUAGCGAACAGGAUUAGAUACCCUGG